AUUUAAUUUAUUAUAAGACUUUUAGGUAAAUGAAUUGUAUAAAAAUAAGAUACCUAAGUGGAAGAGUUUCUUUCCUAUAAAAAAGUCUUUUACCUAAUUCAGAGAGCAUUGUUCACAAAAUUUUGAUAUAAAAUUCUUAAAUAUUUAGAAAAGAACAUUAAAAAAAUGUGAAAUUGAAAAGAAAAUGUCUCUGAAGCAAAACUCUUGAAAUGAUCUCGGAAAUUUAGUUGGUAAAAUUAUGAUAGUAUCGAUUAUACUGAUGAUCUCCUAAAGCAAGUCUUAUUGAAUAUUUGAAUUGCACUACACUUUCGAGAAAUACCAAAGGACAUGUAAAGAAACAAUAAAAUAGCUAGAUUUCCAUGAAUGAUGAAUGAAAAACAGUUUAUAAAGAAAUAGGUUUUGAGAUUUUAGAAGGUACCGAGAAAUCCAGUCUAGCACAUGCAAAUAUGCUAGCAUCUCAAUACUUUACAACAAUUUCAAAACAAAUAUUGUUGAUAUUAUAGUCUAUGUAUAUAACAUCCGAGCCCUUGCCGGACCCAACCAUCCAUAAUAGAUUAGUCGGAAAAUACUAGCAAAUUGGUAUAUAGUAGUUCUUUGCUCGUGUUUACAAAGUCCUGGUCAAUGAGGCUAUUACAAUGUUAGUAUCAUAAUAACAUAUUUGGAUGUUAAAUAAAAUAUGUUUAAUCUUGUUGAUUUGGUUGUGACUGGAACAAGAACAUCAAACAUUGAUCAAAACACUAAACAGUCCUGGGAUCCCUCUAAUCCAUUCUGUGAAAAAAAAACAGAAGAAUUACUAUACCUGAUGCUGAUAAGGGCGCGACAAGGGCACACAAAUGUUGUCAUCUCUGCCCCUUGUUAACGCUAUAUGGUGUUGAUGGUAUAGUCACGACGAAACUUUGAUGCAGGUAUGGCCAAUAACCAGUCCCCAGCACUUCCCAUCCUGGUGUAGGAAUCUCUUGAAGCAGAUGUCGUCGAGGCCCCUCAGGUCCUACUACUAAGCAAGUUGGUAUAACAAAAUGUGUCUGGAAAAACGACUGCUCAUACGUAUCGUGACAGACAUUUUGGACUCUAUUGGGAUGGCUUUGAGCUGAAGAAAUUAAUCCUGAGGGUGGUUAAUGUGUCUUAUCUCGAGGAAAAAUAAUGUUUGGACAAGAAAACUGAUGCUCCUGUGGAACUGGUGGCGCCUUCAUUAGGACUAAGAGCAGCUCUUGAUUGAUUCUGGUGGUAUUGGUUCUUGUUAAUGCUUUUAUUUUAAUCUACAAAAAUUCAAAAUAUAUUUUCCAGAGUUAGAUGACCGACGCUCACAACUCUUGAGGUGACGUGAAAAAUCACUUAAUGGAUCGUAUAAAUUUAACACUCUCCUUUCAAACAAAUCAAACACCUAAAAACCUCGUGGAUUUGAUCAUCGCUCCUGCUAGUAAAAUUAUUCGGUUUCAUGAAUUAUGGAAUGUAGGGAGUACAGAGGAGACCGAGAUGGUCAUGCCUGGGGUAAAGAACUAAUGAUCAACGACCUAAUAGUGGAGCUGUGGGGUUUAGGUUCUUGCCUCCCUGUUGCAGCCACAGUCUCUGAUGGUCCAUUCUACUGAAGCUCUUUCUUGUUUUCUAGUAAGAAGACAACAUGGGUCAUGGGCCUUAAUCUCUUCUACCAAUAUUGAGGAAAAAAAUAAAGUGGACAGGAGAAUCAAACAGACAUAUGUCUUCACUCCAAAUGCUUCAUCUCUAUACAGAAUGUGAUGUUAGACUAUUCCUAUCUUUGCAAUCUCAAUCCCAGAUAAUAGUUCUUCCAACAUGUUAGAUUGUUACUAUUCAUCGAGCAUUCAUUUUUUUCCCAAAUAUUUAGAAGGAAAAGUAUUAUCAGUUCCUAACAUGCUAAAUUGUUGUAACAAUUAGAAAAUCAGGAGUUGAAAGAAAAGUACUUUUGAUUAAAUACAUAGCUUAAAAGUUUAGCAACAUAACCUGUAUUUUUAUUUAUCUCAAGGGAAUAAGUAUAAACAUACUGUAUCAAACACACUAACUAGGCUAUAUAUACGAAACAUAGUUCAAGUAAUUUCUUUUAAUGAUCAACAUGAUAGAAAAAGUAUCCUCAGAGCUAGAGCUGAGCUAAUUGUCUGAGAUUAAAUGGAGAAAUGUCGUCAGUAUUGCCAUCCAUUAAACGCUUGGCGAGGAUGGAAUUAGUAACAUCACUUGGAUGAUAUGCAUCCCAAAAUACAUACUUAGACCUGUCUGGACAAACUGCAGAUGGACCAGGACCACAAGGGAUUAUACCGCCACGACGCCCUGCAGAAAAGCAGCAUGCUGAGUUUGCAUUCUCAAAGCCUGUUGAAAAAUAAGUGAUUUAUAAUCAGAUUUUCGCCUAUGUAGACAUCAUAUCAGAUGUUGAAUUAUAAAUCACUUUUACCAUAUGAUUUGUAGUUUUGAAGGAUGUCAACAAAAAUGUGGUUAACAUUAGCAUAAAGAAAUGUUGAUCCACUAAGCUUAGCUGUAAGCUCUGUAAGAAGACUCUUUAACUGGCGAUUAAAUGAUUGCACGAUCUGAUUCGCCCUGGUAGCACAGUUGUCCCCUAUUAUUAGGUUUACAUCCCUUUGAUAUGGUGUGCACCCUAGUGGCCCUACAUUUGGGACAAUAAACUUCCGGCCACCCAAAUUAUACAGUCUCUGCAAGAAGCCAAAAACA